AUAUAUAUAUUGAAGCAGAGAGACAAAAAGAACAAAACAUUGAAAGACUGUAAAUCGACCACAACUAUGAAAAAUCUACUCUCAGUAUUAUUUUAUUUCGGAUUUCUCCUAUCCUUGUCAACAUCUCUGGCCAUUCCAUCAACCAAGAAGGC
rnacentral:ribozyme from 1 species